rnacentral:rRNA from 1 species
CAUUACACAAAUAUGAAGGCGGGCUGGAACCUCUCGGGGUUACAGCCUUGCUGAAUUAUUCACCCUUGUCUUUUGCGUACUUCUUGUUUCCUUGGUGGGUUCGCCCACCACUAGGACAAACAUAAACCUUUUGUAAUUGCAAUCAGCGUCAGUAACAAAUUAAUAAUUACAACUUUCAACAACGGAUCUCUUGGUUCUGGCAUCGAUGAAGAACGCAGCGAAAUGCGAUAAGUAGUGUGAAUUGCAGAAUUCAGUGAAUCAUCGAAUCUUUGAACGCACAUUGCGCCCUUUGGUAUUCCAAAGGGCAUGCCUGUUCGAGCGUCAUUUGUACCCUCAAGCUUUGCUUGGUGUUGGGCGUCUUGUCUCUAGCUUUGCUGGAGACUCGCCUUAAAGUAAUUGGCAGCCGGCCUACUGGUUUCGGAGCGCAGCACAAGUCGCACUCUCUAUCAGCAAAGGUCUAGCAUCCAUUAAGCCUUUUUUUCAACUUUUGACCUCGGAUCAGGUAGGGAUACCCGCUGAACUUAAGCAUAUCAAUAAGCGGAGGAAAAGAAACCAACAGGGAUUGCCCUAGUAACGGCGAGUGAAGCGGCAACAGCUCAAAUUUGAAAUCUGGCUCUUUUAGAGUCCGAGUUGUAAUUUGCAGAGGGCGCUUUGGUUUUGGCAGCGGUCCAAGUUCCUUGGAACAGGACGUCACAGA